UACAGAGGUCUCAAGCGUUUGUUCGGAUUCAUUGGGCGUAAAGGGUGCGUAGGCGGCGCGGUAAGUCGGGUGUGAAAUCUCGGAGCUUAACUCCGAAACUGCAUUCGAUACUGCCGUGCUUGAGGACUGGAGAGGAGACUGGAAUUUACGGUGUAGCAGUGAAAUGCGUAGAUAUCGUAAGGAAGACCAGUGGCGAAGGCGGGUCUCUGGACAGUUCCUGACG
rnacentral:rRNA from 1 species